CUGGAACUAGAGAUAGAGACCAACUGUAUAUUGAUUGUUUUAUGUCACAGGGGGUCAACUUAUUGUGACACCAUUUGCUUACAGAAACCAUUGGAAUUUCACCUUCAAACUGGACUUGCAGAACUGUCAGCCUUAAAGUAUGUGUCCAGUCUGUCUCUUUAGCGGCUUGUCAGGAGUUACAUGGAAAAUACAUUUUCCUGACUUCAAUGGCAUUCCCAUCGAUAUGCAUUAGCCUUUCACAUAUUCAGCUUCUGUUGGCUUUCCAUGGCUUCCAGGGAGGUGAGAUAAUGUGGUUUAAGGAACAACAAAGACUCAGGCCAAGACUUUGCCAAUUAUCUCAUGAACCCGAACCCUAACCCUAACCAUGGCUUGAAAUGCAACUAUACCUUCAAUCCCAACCCUAUCGCUAACUCACCCUGGUCCCACUAAAAAUCCCAUGUGGGACCCCUGGAGCCCUGGUGAAGUCUCAAAGAAUGGAGUCAGCCGACCAGAUCUGAAGGUGGGUAUUUAAAGGGCC
rnacentral:lncRNA from 1 species